GUGAAGGGGUACUGCGGAGGAUCAUUAUCGAGUUUUGAAUGGGUUGUCUGCUGGCUCGCAAGGGCAUGUGCACGCCUGUCUCAUCCACUCUCAACUUCUGUGCACUUUUCAUAGGCCGGCUUGUGGGUGCGUUCGCGCACUUGUAGGUGUCGGGCUUAUGCUUUACUACAAACGAUUCAGUUUUAGAAUGUCAUACUUUGCUAUAACGCAAUUAUAUACAACUUUCAGCAACGGAUCUCUUGGCUCUCGCAUCGAUGAAGAACGCAGCGAAAUGCGAUAAGUAAUGUGAAUUGCAGAAUUCAGUGAAUCAUCGAAUCUUUGAACGCACCUUGCGCUCCUUGGUAUUCCGAGGAGCAUGCCUGUUUGAGUCUCAUGGAAUUCUCAACCUUCAGCUUUAUUGAUGAAGGCUUGGACUUGGAGGUCGUGCCGGCUCUCGUAGUCGGCUCCUCUGAAAUGCAUUAGUGCGAACGUUACCAGCCGCUUCAGCGUGAUAAUUAUCUGCGUUGCUGUGGAGGGUAUUCUAGUGUUCACGCUUCUAACCGUCUUCGGACAAAUUUCUGAACUCUGAGCUCAAAUCAGGUAGGACUACCCGCUGAACUUAAGCAUAUCAAAAACCGGGGAAGAAAA
rnacentral:rRNA from 1 species